CCAGCCGACGGGAUGCUCCUACUUCACCAUGCCCUCCCGGUAACGGGUGGGUAUGAAGCGUGGGGAACAAUGUAAGAAGUAUAUGUUACAGCAUAUAACCUGCUAGGAGUGGCAAGACUACGGAUCAACGCAAGUGA
rfam:Marchantia polymorpha subsp. polymorpha scaffold4666, whole genome shotgun sequence.